ACCCUCCAGUUCCCUUUCCCACUGGAUCUGAACACUGGUCUUGGUGGUCAUAAAGGAGGAAAAGGAAUGCUGAAACUGGCCUCACAGACAUAUUCUGUUACAGAAAAUGCAGGCUACUACCAAACAGGG
ensembl:snoRNA